ACUCUCAAAGUGGUUGUGAAAUG
rnacentral:piRNA from 1 species